rnacentral:pre_miRNA from 1 species
AGUAAAGUUGCUGGAUCAUAGAGUAAGUCUAUGUUUAAAUUUUGGACAAAAUGUCAUAUUGUUUUCUAAAGUAGCUGCACCAUUUUACAAUUCCAUCUGCAAU